UCGUCAAGAUGAUGAAAUCAGGAAAUCUUAGGACACCUUCUGACACAGUAGGAUGCUGUGUAUGAGAAAAAGAUUUUCGUUUCUGAUAUUUGA